rnacentral:misc_RNA from 1 species
GAUGAAGAACGUAGCAAAAUGCGAUACUUGGUGUGAAUUGCAGAAUCCCGUGAACCAUCGAGUUUUUGAACGCAAGUUGCGCCCGAAGCCUUUUGGCCGAGGGCACGUCUGCCUGGGCGCCACGCAUCGCGUCGCCCCCCACAACUCUCCGUAAAGGGAACUUGUGUUUUGGGGGCGGAUAUUGGUCUCCCGUGCUCAUGGCGUGGUUGGCCGAAAUAGGAGUCCCUCCGGUGGACGCACGAACUAGUGGUGGUCGUAAAAACCCUCGUCUUUUGUUUCGUGCCGUUAGUCGCGAGGGAAACUCUUUAAAAACCCAAAUGUGUCGUCUCUUGACGGCGCUUCGACCGCGACCCCAGGUCAGGCGGGACUACCCGCUGAGUUUAAGCAUAUCAAUAAGCGGAGGA